AGAGUUUGAUCUUGGCUCAGGAUGAACGCUGGCGGCGUGGAUUAGGCAUGCAAGUCGAACGCCCCCUUCGGGGGGAGUGGCAGACGAGGUAGUAACACGUAGGAAUCUACCCUUAAGACAGGGAUAACCUCGAGAAAUCGAGGCUAAUACCUGAUAGUCCGAACAUUAUUCGUAGUGUUCGGUAAAGCUCCGGCGCUUAAGGAAGAGCCUGCGGGAUAUCAUGCUAGUUGGUAGGGUAAUGGCCUACCAAGGCUUUGACGUCUAGGGGGGGUGAGAGCCCGACCCCCACCGAUGGGACUGAGACACGGCCCAUACACCUACGGGUGGCCGCAGUCGAGAAUCUUCCGCAAUGGGCGAAAGCCUGACGGAGCGACGCCGCGUGGUGGACCAAGUCCUUCGGGAUGUAAACACCUUUUAUGGGGGAAGAAGCCGGGUAUCACUUUUGACAGAAACGGGAUCUUGAUCGGCAAAGGAAACUUUGUUGACGGUCUUUGUGUUGUGUCAAAAGUGAUGCUCGGUUGACGGUACCCCAUGAAUAAGGGGCUGCUAAACUCGUGCCAGCAGCAGCGGUAAUACGAGUGCCCCAAGCGUUAUCCGGAAUUACUGGGCGUAAAGGGUGUGUAGGCGGUCUUGUUAGUCUCCUGUUAAAUCUCUCGGCUCAACCGAGAAUCGGCGGGGGAUACGGCAGGACUUGAGGACGCGAGAGGUCUGUGGAACUCAUGGUGUAGAGGUGAUAUUCGUUGAUAUCAUGAGGAACGCCAAAAGCGAAGGCAGCAGACUGGCGCGUACCUGACGCUGAGGCACUAAAGCGUGGGUAGCGAACGGGAUUAGAUACCCCGGUAGUCCACGCCCUAAACGAUGCUCGCUAGCUUUUCGGAGUAUCGACCCUCUGAGAGGCGAAGCUAACGCGUUAAGCGAGCCGCCUGGGAAGUACGGCCGCAAGGCUAAAACUCAAAAGAAUAGACGGGAGCUCGCACAAGCGGUGGAUCAUGCGGUUUAAUUCGAUGAUGAACGAAGAACCUUACCAGGGCUUGAAAUUCAGAUGAAAUCUCAGCGAAAGUUGAGACCUCCUCACAAGGGACAUCUGGACAGGUGUUGCAUGGCUGUCGUCAGUUCGUGGCUUGAGUUGUUCCCUUAAGUGGGGAAACGAACGCAACCCCCGUCGUCUGUUACAAGUGUCAGGCGAGACUGUCUCGUUUUACGAGAAGGAAGCGGGGAUGACGCCAAGUCAGCAUGACCCUCUGACGCCCUGGGCUACACGCAUGAUACAAUGGCUGCUACAACGGGCAGCGAAGGGGUAACCCGGAGCUAAUCCUUCAAAAGCAGCCCCAGUUCGGAUUGAGGUCUGUAACUCGACCUCAUGAAGUUGGAAUCGCUAGUAAUCGCGGGUCAGAUAUACCGCGGUGAAUACGUUCUCGAGCUUUGUACUCACCGCCCGUCAAGCCAGGGAAGCCGGAAGUGCCCGAAGUCCCGCCCUAGGUGGGCCUAAGGCAAGUUCGGUAACAAGGGUUAAGUCGUAACAAGGCACGG
rnacentral:rRNA from 1 species